rnacentral:rRNA from 1 species
UACGAAGGGGGCGAGUGUUGUUCGGAUUUACUGGGCGUAAAGGGCGCGUAGGCGGCCCUCCUUGUCGCGUGUGAAAGCCCCGGGCUCAACCUGGGAAUGGCGCGCGAAACGGGCGGGCUUGAGUUCGGGAGAGGAGCGUGGAAUUCCCAGUGUAGAGGUGAAAUUCGUAGAUAUUGGGAAGAACACCGGUGGCGAAGGCGGCGCUCUGGACCGAGACUGACGCUGAGGCGCGAAAAGCGUGGGGAGCAAACAGG